CAGAUGAUGCCUAUCAACUGUUUAAAAGAUGGGUUCUGCUAUCACUCUUGGAUGGGACCCUGCGGUGCAUUAGCUAGUUGGUAGGGGUAACGGGCCUACCAAGGCGAUGAUGCAUAGCCCGAGUUGAGAGACUGAUCGGGCCACAUUGGGGACUGAGACACGGGCCCAAAACUCCUACGGGGAGGCAGCAGUAGGGAAUCUUCCACAAUGGACGCAAGUCUGAUGGAGCAACGCCGCGUGAGUGAAGUAAGGGUUUCGGCUACGUAAAGCUCUGUUGUUGGUGAAGAAGGACGAGGGGUAGUAACUGUACCUUUGUUUGACGGUAAUCAAUUAGAAGUCACGGCUAACUACGUGCCAGCAGCCGCGGUAAU
rnacentral:rRNA from 1 species